rnacentral:ncRNA from 1 species
GGAUGUGGCGGACGCAUUCACGACGGUGUAUCGCAUUUUAAAUUUCUGGGAGGAUUGACAGAUUGAGAGCUCCUUCUUGACUCUGUGGAUGGUGGUGCAUGUCCGUUCUUAGUUGUUGGAGCGAUUUGUCUGAUUGAUUCCGACAUGCCUAUUAAAUAGGUCCGUGGUUCUCUGCAUCUUGCACCCUUCUUAGGGGAAAAGCGGGUUUAUACUUCGUGUCACCCUACGAUGAACUAAAGGCAAAUGCUACGGACCGCCAGAUCAGGUCACGAGCCCCUUAGACAUUGUGCGGUAUUUCGCAUCGAUGCACGUAUCGGAUCUCGCGUCUCGGAUCACUAAUCAGGAGAUGGGUGGACAGUGGCUCGAAUUGAAGAGCACUGAGGCUCUUAAGAAUUUUACAUCGCAAAGAAAGCCACGACAUAUAGGCUCUUUGCAGCAUGGAAGCUAUAAAAAUGAUACGGCGCUUUUAGGUACAGAGGAUUAUUCGCCCGCCCCUGAUGAAUGUUAAGUGUGUCAUAGUAUAGCGUGGAAUGGGAUUGGACCUGGCGGCCCGUAGCUUCGGCCUUUAGUCCGUCGUAGGAUGAGACACAGUAUAGCCGCACGAAACAGAGAAAUAACAGGUUUGUGAUGCCCCUAGAUGCUCGGGGCCGCACGUGCGCUACACUGAAGGAAGCAGCGUGUUUUUAUCCCUGUAUGUUAAAACAGUAAGCUUAGAAAAAAGUGACUAGGAAACACAGAGUGCUAAUUGAAGUCCAACGGAUUAUCUCCGAGAA